rnacentral:rRNA from 1 species
GACAGAGGGUGCAAACGUUGCUCGGAAUUACUGGGCUUAAAGCGCGUGUAGGCGGGUCGGAAAGUCGGGCGUGAAAUCCCCAGGCUCAACCUGGGAACUGCACUCGAAACUUCCGAUCUAGAGUGGUGGAGAGGGAAGUGGAAUUCCUGGUGUAGAGGUGAAAUUCGUAGAUAUCAGGAGGAACACCAGUGGCGAAGGCGGCUUCCUGGACACCAACUGACGCUGAGACGCGAAAGCGUGGGGAGCAAACAGG